rnacentral:rRNA from 1 species
ACUCCUACGGGAGGCAGCAGUGGGGAAUAUUGCACAAUGGGGAAACCCUGAUGCAGCCAUGCCGCGUGUGUGAAGAAGGCCUUCGGUUGUAAAGCACUUUCAGUAGGGAGGAAGGUAGUGUAGUUAACACCUGCAUUAUUUGACGUUACCUACAGAAGAAGCACCGGCUAACUCCGUGCCAGCAGCCGCGGUAAUACGGAGGGGUGCGAGCGUUAAUCGGAAUUACUGGGCGUAAAGCGCAUGCAGGCGGCCUGUUAAGUCAGAUGUGAAAGCCCGGGGGCUUAACCUCGGAAUUGCAUUUGAAACUGGCAGGCUAGAGUCUUGUAGAGGGGGUAGAAUUUCAGGUGUAGCGGUGAAAUGCGUAGAGAUCUGAAGG